ACAGACGGAGCCGCAGCGAAAGCGAGUCUGAACAGGGCGUAUGUAGUAGGGGGUCGUAGACCCGAAACCGUGUGAUCUACCCAUGUCCAGGGUGAAGGUCAGGUAACACUGACUGGAGGCCCGAACCCACGUAUGUUGAAAAAUGCGGGGAUGAGGUGUGGGUAGGGGUGAAAUGCCAAUCGAACACGGAGAUAGCUGGUUCUCUCCGAAAUAGCUUUAGGGCUAGCCUCAAGAGUUGAGUACUGGAGGUAGAGCACUGAUUGGACUAGGGGCCCUCAUCGGGUUACCGAAUUCAGUCAAACUCCGAAUGCCAGCCACUCGAUCUUGGGAGUCAGACUAUGGGUGAUAAGGUUCAUAGUCGAAAGGGAAACAGCCCAGACCGCCAGCUAAGGUCCCAAAGUAUACGUUAAGUGGAAAAGGAUGUGGAGUUGCUUAGACAACCAGGAUGUUGGCUUAGAAGCAGCCAUCAUUUAAAGAGUGCGUAAUAGCUCACUGGUCGAGUGACUCUGCGCCGAAAAUGUACCGGGGCUAAACGUAUCACCGAAGCUGCGGAUUGUUCUUACGAACAAUGGUAGGAGAGCGUUCUAAGUGCAGCGAAGUCAGACCGUGAGGACUGGUGGAGCGCUUAGAAGUGAGAAUGCCGGUAUGAGUAGCGAAAAAAGAGUGAGAAUCUCUUUCACCGAAAGCCUAAGGUUUCCUGAGGAAGGCUCGUCCGCUCAGGGUUAGUCGGGACCUAAGCCGAGGCCGAAAGGCGUAGGCGAUGGACAACAGGUGGAUAUUCCUGUACCACCUCCUUUCCGUUUGAACGACGGGGGGACGCAGAAGGAUAAGGAAAGCGCACUGCUGGUCAUGUGCGCCCAAGCAGUAAGAGAGUUGGAUAGGCAAAUCCGUCCAACAAUUUCAAGCUGUGAUGGGGAGGGAAAAUAAGUACCGAAGUUCCUGAUUUCACACUGCCAAGAAAAGCCUCUAGUGAGGAAAGAGGUGCCCGUACCGCAAACCGACACAGGUAGGCGAGGAGAGAAUCCUAAGGUGAUCGGGAGAACUCUCGUUAAGGAACUCGGCAAAAUGACCCCGUAACUUCGGGAGAAGGGGUGCUUCUUUAAGGAGAAGCCGCAGUGAAUAGGCCCAAGCGACUGUUUAGCAAAAACACAGGUCUCUGCGAAGCCGUAAGGCGAAGUAUAGGGGCUGACACCUGCCCGGUGCUGGAAGGUUAAGGGGACGCGUUAGCCGCAAGGCGAAGCGUUGAACCGAAGCCCCAGUAAACGGCGGCCGUAACUAUAACGGUCCUAAGGUAGCGAAAUUCCUUGUCGGGUAAGUUCCGACCCGCACGAAAGGUGCAACGACUUGGGCACUGUCUCAACGAGAGACCCGGUGAAAUUAUACUAUGCGUGAAGAUGCGCAUUACCCGCGACAGGACGGAAAGACCCCGUGGAGCUUUACUGUAGCCUGAUAUUGAAUGUUGGUACAGCUUGUACAGGAUAGGUGGGAGCCUUAGAAACCGGAGCGCUAGCUUCGGUGGAGGCGCCGGUGGGAUACCACCCUGGCUGUACGGACCUUCUAACCCAGAACCGUGAUCCGGUUCGGAGACAGUGUCAGGUGGGCAGUUUGACUGGGGCGGUCGCCUCCUAAAGAGUAACGGAGGCGCCCAAAGGUUCCCUCAGAAUGGUUGGAAAUCAUUCGCAGAGUGUAAAGGCAGAAGGGAGCUUGACUGCGAGACCUACAAGUCGAGCAGGGACGAAAGUCGGGCUUAGUGAUCCGGCGGUGCCGUAUGGAAGGGCCGUCGCUCAACGGAUAAAAGCUACCCCGGGGAUAACAGGCUUAUCUCCCCCAAGAGUCCACAUCGACGGGGAGGUUUGGCACCUCGAUGUCGGCUCAUCGCAUCCUGGGGCUGUAGUCGGUCCCAAGGGUUGGGCUGUUCGCCCAUUAAAGCGGUACGCGAGCUGGGUUCAGAACGUCGUGAGACAGUUCGGUCCCUAUCCGUCGUGGGCGUUGGAAGUUUGAGAGGAGCUGUCCUUAGUACGAGAGGACCGGGAUGGACACACCGCUGGUGUACCAGUUGUUCCGCCAGGAGCAUGGCUGGGUAGCUACGUGUGGAAGGGAUAAGUGCUGAAAGCAUCUAAGCAUGAAGCCCCCCUCUAGAUGAGACUUCCCAUCAUUUUAAAUGAGUAAGAUCCCUCAGAGACGAUGAGGUUGAUAGGUCCGAGGUGGAAGCGUGGUGACACGUGCAGCUGACGGAUACUAAUCGAUCGAGGACUUAACUUA
rnacentral:rRNA from 1 species